GUCCGGAUUUACUGGGUGUAAAGGGCGUGUAGGCGGAGGAGCAAGUCAGAUGUGAAAUCCCGGGGCUUAACCCCGGAACUGCAUUUGAAACUGUUUCCCUUGAGUAUCGGAGAGGCAAGCGGAAUUCCUAGUGUAGCGGUGAAAUGCGUAGAUAUUAGGAGGAACACCAGUGGCGAAGGCGGCUUGCUGGACGACAACUGACGCUGAGGCGCGAAAGCGUGGGGAGCAAACAGGAUUAGAUACCCUGGUAGUCCACGCUGUAAACGAUGAAUACUAGGUGUGGGAGGACUGACCCCUUCCGUGCCGCAGUUAACACAAUAAGUAUUCCACCUGGGGAGUACGACCGCAAGGUUGAAACUCAAAGGAAUUGACGGGGGCCCGCACAAGCAGUGGAUUAUGUGGUUUAAUUCGACGCAACGCGAAGAACCUUACCAGGAUUUGACAUCCAACUAACGAAGUAGAGAUACAUUAGGUGCCCUUCGGGGAAAGUUGAGACAGGUGGUGCAUGGUUGUCGUCAGCUCGUGUCGUGAGAUGUUGGGUUAAGUCCCGCAACGAGCGCAACCCCUAUUGUUAGUUGCUACGAAAGAGCACUCUAGCGAGACUGCCGUUGACAAAACGGAGGAAGGCGGGGACGACGUCAAAUCAUCAUGCCCCUUAUGUCCUGGGCUACACACGUAAUACAAUGGUGGAAAACAGAGGGAAGCAAAGCCGCGAGGUGGAGCAAAUCCCUAAAAGCCAUCUCAGUUCGGAUUGCAGGCUGCAACUCGCCUGCAUGAAGCUGGA
rnacentral:rRNA from 1 species